CAGCCGCCGCGGUAAUACGAAGGGGGCUAGCGUUGUUCGGAAUUACUGGGCGUAAAGGGCGCGUAGGCGGCCAUUCAAGUUAGAUGUGAAAGCCCUGGGCUCAACCUAGGAAUUGCAUUUGAUACUGUUUGGCUUGAGUUCGGGAGAGGUGAGUGGAAUUCCCAGUGUAGAGGUGAAAUUCGCAGAUAUUGGGAAGAACACCAGUGGCGAAGGCGGCUCACUGGACCGACACUGACGCUGAGGCGCGAAAGCGUGGGGGGCAAACAGGAUUAGAUACCCCUGUAGUCCCUGUCUCUUAUAC
rnacentral:rRNA from 1 species